AAGAGGGGGGAGGCAUCUAUCAGCUCAGGCAGAGUUUUUUUGAGUGGGACCAGUCUGACCCCAUUCCUGUCUUUGUCCCGGUGACAGGGCAGAUUCCUGGACGCUCAGAGACAUUCAGGUCCUCUGGAUGUGACUCUACUAUCCAGGAAUGGAAAAACUGGCAAAGGAGAUGUUGUGCUCGUGCAAAGCAGCAUGUCCAGAGGAAGAGCACAUACUCCCUACUGUGCUGUUGUUAUUUCAAGAGGAUUAAUGGGCGGCUGCAGAAGUCGGGACAGGGUUAAGGUCAAUACUGAGCUCCUGUUUCACAGCCAGCACAUCCAUGUGAGAGCUACCGUGUGGUGCUGAGAACACAAGAAAAGCACGUGUCUGCAGUGAGCUCAUUCAUGUCUCAUGUAUGAGUGUCAC